AGUGUUGUAAUUUUUUGUCCGUCGUUAUUUCUAGUUCUACCGGCUCUGUACGGCCGAUCCUGAUAUAAAGACCGGUAGAUACUUCGAUGAGCUCCUCAGCAGGACUGGCAAUGCAGCGAAACUUAACUAUGCUGCAUCUUUUGAGCUCACUGGUGCAGCGCUCAAGAAUGGUCUUUUUGCGUACGUAUUCGCGGAACCGUCAAUAGUGGAAACCGAUGAGGGAUUGGCAGAAUUUGAGUUAAACCUGCCCUCGGUCAUUGUAAAUGACAUGUAUGAGAGGAUGUGGCAGCCUCAUAGACUCUAUAAAAUCAAAUCACUGAUACAUAGUUGGAUGUCGCCGAAAGGCCUAUUUAAAAAUGGAAAAUUGGAAAAAUUUGCAAUUGACAUUCUAAAUGAUAGAGACAUCAAAAUUGGCGUCAUUCCUCUCGAGGUGAUGUCUGGGGGUCUUUUGGGAGUACAGGAAAAAUACAAAAAUAAAUUAGAUGUUA